CGCGUAGGUGGUAGUGUAAGUCUGGGGUGGAAUCCCAGGGCUUAACCCUGGAACUGCCUUGGAAACUGUAUUACUUGAGUCAGUGAGGGGAGGGUAGAAUUCCUGGUGUAGCGGUGAAAUGCGUAGAUAUCAGGAGGAAGGCCUGUGGCGAAGGCGGCCCUCUGGCGCUGGACUGACACUGAGGCGCGAGAGCGUGGGGAGCAAACAGGAUUAGAUACCCUGGUAGUCCACGCCCUAAACGGUGGGCACUAGGUGUAGGGCUCGUAAGGGUUCUGUGCCGAAGGGAAACCAUUAAGUGCCCCGCCUGGGGAGUACGGCCGCAAGGUUGAA
rnacentral:rRNA from 1 species